CUAAAAAGAAGUUCAUAAAUACGGGAUUGGUGUGAAGAGUCGUUCUCCUUCUUGUCGAAUAUCUCGGAUUCAAUUAUGAAAUUAAAACGGGAGAUAAGAGAAAAAUUCCACUUUUCUCAGAAAUAAGUCAGUUGACAUUGUCAUGCCAGUUACUCAGAGUUAUGGUGGAUAUAAAUAUAUGGAUGUUUCUGG